GAUGAACGCUGGCGGCGUGCCUAAUACAUGCAAGUCGAGCGAACAGACGAGGAGCUUGCUCCUCUGACGUUAGCGGCGGACGGGUGAGUAACACGUGGAUAACCUACCUAUAAGACUGGGAUAACUUCGGGAAACCGGAGAUAAUACCGGAUAAUAUAUUGAACCGCAUGGUUCAAUAGUGAAAGACGGUUUUGCUGUCACUUAUAGAUGGAUCCGCGCCGCAUUAGCUAGUUGGUAAGGUAACGGCUUACCAAGGCAACGAUGCGUAGCCGACCUGAGAGGGUGAUCGGCCACACUGGAACUGAGACACGGUCCAGACUCCUACGGGAGGCAGCAGUAGGGAAUCUUCCGCAAUGGGCGAAAGCCUGACGGAGCAACGCCGCGUGAGUGAUGAAGGUCUUCGGAUCGUAAAACUCUGUUAUUAGGGAAGAACAAAUGUGUAAGUAACUAUGCACGUCUUGACGGUACCUAAACAGAAAGCCACGGCUAACUACGUG
rnacentral:rRNA from 1 species